GCCUUCUUAGCUCAGCGGUAGAGCAGCUGUUUUGUAAACAGCAGGUCGCGGGUUCGAAUCCCACAGAAGGCU
rnacentral:tRNA from 1 species